rnacentral:rRNA from 1 species
GAAGGUGGCGAGCGUUGUUCGGAAUCACUGGGCUUAAAGCGCGCGUAGGCGGAGUGGAAAGUGUCUUGUGAAAUCCCACGGCUUAACCGUGGAAUUGCUCGGCAAACUUCCACUCUUGAGGCAAGUAGGGGUACAUGGAACUCUUGGUGGAGCGGUGGAAUGCGUAGAUAUCAAGAGGAACGCCAAUGGUGAAGACAGUGUACUGGGCUUGUCCUGACGCUGAGGUGCGAAAGCGUGGGGGAGCGAACGGGAUUAGAUACCCCGGUAGUCCACGCCGUAAACGAUGUCUACUAGGUUGCGGAGGUUCUGACGCCGUCGCAGUCGAAGCAAAAGUGUUAAGUAGACCGCCUGGGGAGUACGGUCGCAAGGCUA